rnacentral:rRNA from 1 species
UUGGAGGGCAAGUCUGGUGCCAGCAGCCGCGGUAAUUCCAGCUCCAAUAGCGUAUAUUAAAGUUGUUGCAGUUAAAAAGCUCGUAGUUGAAUUUCGGGAUUAGUACGUUGGUCGUGCCUUCGGUACGUACUGGUGUUACUGAUUCCUACCUUCUGACGAACCAUCAUGUCAUUAAUUUGGUGUGGUGGGGAAUCAGGACUGUUACUUUGAAAAAAUUAGAGUGUUUAAAGCAGGCUCGCACUUGAAUACAUUAGCGUGGAAUAAUGAAAUAGGACGUUGACCCUAUUUUGUUGGUUUCUAGGAUUGACGUAAUGAUUAAUAGGGAUAGUUGGGGGCAUUAGUAUUCAAUUGUCAGAGGUGAAAUUCUUGGAUUUAUUGAAGACUAACUACUGCGAAAGCAUUUGCCAAGGAUGUUUUCAUUAAUCAAGAACGAAAGUUAGGGGAUCGAAGACGAUCAGAUACCGUCGUAGUCUUAACCAUAAACUAUGCCGACUAGGGAUCGGAUGAUGUUAAUUUUUUAAUGACUCAUUCGGCGCCUUACGGGAAAC